rnacentral:rRNA from 1 species
CCUACGGGAGGCAGCAGUAGGGAAUUUUCGGCAAUGGGAGGAACCCUGACCGAGCAACGCCGCGUGAUGGAGGAAGUAUCUCGGUAUGUAAACCUCCGUUAUAAAGGAAGAACGGAGCAUGGAGGGUAUGACAUGCAAGUGACGGUACUGUUUGAGGAAGCCACGGCUACCUACGUGCCAGCAGCCGCGGUAAUAGGUAGGUGGCGAGCGUUAUCGGGAUUUAUGGGGCGAAAGGAGGGGGCAGGCGGCAGCUAAGGUCGGCGGGGAAAGCCCGAAGCUAAACUGCGGUAAGCCGUGGAAACCGGGCAGCUAGAGUGCAGUAGAGGAACGUGGAAUUCCAAGUGUAGCGGUGAAAUGCGUAGAUAUAUGGAGGAACACCAGUGGCGAAGGCGACGAUCUGGGCUGCAACUGACGCUGAGUCCCGAAAGCGUGGGGAGCGAAUAGGAUUAGAUACCCGGGUAGUC